rnacentral:rRNA from 1 species
GACGAACGCUGGCGGCGUGCUUAACACAUGCAAGUCGAACGAAGAGCGAUGGAAGCUUGCUUCUAUCAAUCUUAGUGGCGAACGGGUGAGUAACGCGUAAUCAACCUGCCCCUCAGAGGGGGACAACAGUUGGAAACGACUGCUAAUACCGCAUACGAUCUAAUCUCGGCAUCGAGGAUAGAUGAAAGGUGGCCUCUACAUGUAAGCUAUCACUGAAGGAGGGGAUUGCGUCUGAUUAGCUAGUUGGAGGGGUAACGGCCCACCAAGGCGAUGAUCAGUAGCCGGUCUGAGAGGAUGAACGGCCACAUUGGGACUGAGACACGGCCCAGACUCCUACGGGAGGCAGCAGUGGGGAAUCUUCCGCAAUGGACGAAAGUCUGACGGAGCAACGCCGCGUGAGUGAUGACGGCCUUCGGGUUGUAAAGCUCUGUUAAUCGGGACGAAAGGCCUCCUUGCGAAUAGUGAGAAGGAUUGACGGUACCGGAAUAGAAAGCCACGGCUAACUACGUG